AUUCUAUAUAGUAGUAAUAUAAAAUUUAUAUAGUUGGUACUAUCUAGGGUUUUAACAAAAUCAGGCCUGUUUUUGUUUUAACAAAAUCAGGCCUGUUUUGGUUUCUGCUAUUUGCAUUGUGUAAGGUCUAUCAUGUUGGGAUAUCAAAAGAAAUUGUAACACUUCUCUACCGUGUAUCCAAGUUUGUAUUGGCUGCAAAUCUGAUAAAUAUAUCUGAAGAGGGUAAAAAUGGGAGCUUCCAUUCAUAGAUCAUCGAGAGACAGAGGCAUAGGAGGAAAAUCAAAUCUCCAGACUUAAAGUGUGAUGAAGUAUCAAAAACAGGAAAAACUGUGAUGCCUAUUGAAUUUCAGGUCAAUGACACUAAUUUAGCGGAAAUUGAAGGUGGAGAGGUUACUGUCCUGCAAUGGUCCAGAGUUUUUAAUGCAACUUAGCUUUCACGUAAAGGAUAGCAGUGAUUGAAAGUUUGUUCAGG